rnacentral:lncRNA from 1 species
CUUUAAAAGAGCAACUGUUAAUGAUUUCCCUGCUCAUUAAAUUGAUAUUUAAUCUGUUAUUGUCAACCAGAAUGGUUUGUAGACAGAGGCUCUCUGGUUUCUAGAGUCCUCACUGCCUUACAGUUCGUUUGCUUUUUAAAGUGUUUCAUUUCGCUUCUACGAGUGGAGUUCAGGCUCUUGGCUUCAUUGGCAAAUCCAAAAUCAAUCCAUUUAGAGGCCAGAACAUUCUAGUCUAAGACUCCUGAAACCUGGCACAUGAUGGCCGUGCCCUGAAAGAGGCCUCAUUGUUCAGCUAAUGGGCAUCCCUUGUGAUGAUCUGAAGGAACACACAGGGCUCAUCAACCUCGAAUGUACAUUUUAGUGAGCUACAUUCUGAACAUGGCCCCUGUUGGAGCUCAGACUGGAUUAAAGUCCAGCUCUUUUCAGUAAUAACUCCCAGGGAACGCUCCCCAUCAGUCCGUUCUCAUCUCAGGGAACGCUCCCCAUUGGCCUCCCUCACCUCAGGGACCCCUCCCCAUUGGCCCUCCCUCGCCUCAGGGAACGCCCCCCCUCCAUCAGCCCUCCCUCACCUACUCCUACCUGCAUCUCCUGCUCUGGAUGUCUUUUCUUCCCUUCUGGCCUGAGCUCUCCCCUCACGUUUCUUCUAGUGACCUUUCAUUUGUCCUUCUUGGAUAACGUCAACACCCCCUUCUCUGUAAGCCUUACACAUCCCCUCUACCUGAGUAUGUCCCUUCUCCCCCUGAGCCUGCCUGCCUCUAGGAGAUUGGACACAUGACCUACAGUGUCUGUGUCCACAGCCCAGACUCAACCCCUUCAGUGGAAGAGAUGAGGCUUGGCUUUGUCUAGCUCAAGUCUCAUAAACUGCCCGAGGUAACCAGCGAAUAUUGAGGCAAUGAGAUUAAGGAAGUAGUUCUCCACACAUCCUGUGCUUUAUCCGACCUUUCCAUCUCUCCAAAUGUUUGUUAUUUUGGCCUAGAACGGCCUCAGAAAUCACAUGCUUCAAUGAUACCACGAGACAAGGGUUCAUUAUGUCCACUCUGUUCUGUUGGGUCCACUCCCCAGCCAUAUCUGAAAAAUAGGAGCACAGUAGUCAAAGCGCACCUCUUCUGCCCGUCCGUCUCUCUGCAUUUCCCAAAGGACAGCUCCCACCAGCUCUCCCCUCCUCCUGCUCCCACACCACCGAGAUGUAACUAACUCAAGCACAUCAACAGGGCCACACAAAACCCUUGGCUAGAAAAUGGAUCAUUUGAGGAGCGUCCUGCCCCAAACAGAUGAGAUCCGGCCACCUGUGGGCUUCAGAUGGUGUAACACCACGAAGAGGGCCGGAGGGAAAUCUACCUUCUGUGAAUUUCUAUUCUUCACACUAUCCUGGGUCCAUCUGAAGUCUCUGUGUAAACGCAUCAGCUUCAAGUUUAUGUAAAUCCUUCUCAAUAUGAUAUAAUCCAAAAUUGACCUCUGAGUUUUCUCUCCAGCCCCACAUUUCACUCUUAAAAAUCAUGGCUGAUAAGCAAUUCCUUUCAUCUAUCCAUCCCUACGUUUCCA